rnacentral:tRNA from 1 species
GGAAGCGUAUCGAAGAGGUCAUAACGAGCCGCACUCGAAAUGCGGUUGCCCUCCGGGGGCACGUGGGUUCGAAUCCCACCGCUUCCGCCA